rnacentral:rRNA from 1 species
UACGUAGGGGGCUAGCGUUGUCCGGAAUCAUUGGGCGUAAAGAGCGUGUAGGCGGUCCGGUAAGUCCGCUGUGAAAGUCGGGGGCUCAACCCUCGAAUGCCGGUGGAUACUGUCGGGCUAGAGUGCGGAAGAGGCGAGUGGAAUUCCUGGUGUAGCGGUGAAAUGCGCAGAUAUCAGGAGGAACACCGGUGGCGAAGGCGGGUCUCUGGGCCGUAACUGACGCUGGAGGAGCGAAAGCCAUGGGGAGCGAACAGG